rnacentral:rRNA from 1 species
UACGUAGGGUGCAAGCGUUGUCCGGAAUUAUUGGGCGUAAAGAGCUCGUAGGCGGUCUGUCGCGUCUGCUGUGAAAACUCAGGGCUUAACCCUGAGCUUGCAGUGGGUACGGGCAGACUAGAGUGCGGUAGGGGAGACUGGAAUUCCUGGUGUAGCGGUGAAAUGCGCAGAUAUCAGGAGGGAACACCGGUGGCGAAGGCGGGUCUCUGGGCCGUAACUGACGCU